rnacentral:rRNA from 1 species
CUGGUUGAUCCUGCCAGAUCCGACUGCUAUCCGGGUAAGACUAAGCCAUGCGAGUCGAAUGGGAAGCUAAUCUUCCAUGGCAUACUGCUUAGUAACAAGUGAUCAACUUACCCUUUAGUGGGGCAUACCCUCGGGAAACUGAGGCUAAUUCCCCAUAGUUGAAAACGCCUGGAAUGGUUUUUCAUCCAAAGGAUAUAACAAAUGCGUUAUAUUUGCUAAAGGAUAGGAUCGCUCCCGAUUAUGGUUGUUGGCGAGGUAAUGGCUCACCAAGCCUAUGAUCGGUAAGGGCCGUGAGAGCGGGAGCCCUGAGAUGGGUACUGAGACAAUGACCCAGGCCUUACGAGGCGCAGCAGGCGCGAAACCUUUACAAUGCACGAAAGUGUGAUAAGGUUACCCGGAGUGCUAGGAGUGCAACUUCUAGCUGUUAUAGUGUGUAGAUAACACUAUGAGAAAGGAGAGGGCAAGGCUGGUGCCAGCCGCCGCGGUAACACCAGCUCUUCAAGUGGUCGGGCCAAUUAUUGGGCUUAAAGUGUCCGUAGCCGGUUUGGUAAGUCCCUGGUUAAAGUUGACAGCUUAACUGUCAGUUCGCUAGGGAAACUGCCUCGCUAGAGGGCGGGAAAGGUCUGAGGUACUCCAGGGGUAGCGGUGAAAUGCGAUAAUCCUGGGGGGACCACCAGUGGCGAAAGCGUCAGACUGGAACGCGCCUGACGGUGAGGGACGAAAGCCAGGGGAGCGAACGGGAUUAGAUACCCCGGUAGUCCUGGCCGUAAACGAUGCACGCUAGGUGUUGGUAGGGCUAUGAGCUGUAUCAGUGCCGUAGGGAAACCGUUAAGCGUGCCGCCUGGGAAGUACGCUCGCAAGAGUGAAACUUAAAGGAAUUGGCGGGGGAGCACCACAAGGGGUGAAGCCUGCGGUUCAAUUGGAUUCAACGCCGGG